UACGGAGGGCGCUAGCGUUGUUCGGAAUUACUGGGCGUAAAGCGUACGUAGGCGGCUUUGUAAGUUAGAGGUGAAAGCCUGGAGCUCAACUCCAGAAUUGCCUUUAAGACUGCAUCGCUUGAAUAUGGGAGAGGUGAGUGGAAUUCCGGGUGUAGAGGUGAAAUUCGUAGAUAUUCGGAAGAACACCAGUGGCGAAGGCGGCUCACUGGACCGGUAUUGACGCUGAGGUGCGAAAGCGUGGGGAGCAAACAGG
rnacentral:rRNA from 1 species